rnacentral:lncRNA from 1 species
GGCCACAUCACUCAGGCUCCUGUUCCCCAUCUCCAGGCUCGCAGCGGACAGAACUCCACUUUCUGAAGAAACAAGAAGGCAGGCCACUUCAGAACAGGGUCACGUGCCCUUCAGACGUGAUCAGGCAUGUUCACGAUCUUGGUGUGAACGGGCUUGGUGUGACCAUGGACACACAUGCCCUUUAGGAAGAUGGCUGUGGCGACGAUGUGAAGGGUGCUGCAGGACGAGACUGAACAGGGAAAAACACCGAAGGAUGAAAGCAAACAAGAAGGACGUGGUGAAGGGAGAUUUCAAGAUGUUUAGAAGCUGAAGAGAAAUAUCCAAUAGAACAGAACAGAGGUUGGCAAACUUUUCCUGUGAAGGGUCAAAUAGUAAAUAUUUCAGGUUUUGGGCCACAUGGUCCCCACUGCAACUCAACUCUGUCAUGUAGGACAAAGGCAGCUACAGACGACACAUAAGCAAAUGAGCACAGCUCCAUUCCAAUAAAACUUUAUUUAUAGAAACAAGAGGCAGGGGAUGUUUGCACACACGUUUGUAGCAGCAUCACGAACAACAUAAAGAUGGAAGCAAAAGGUAGAAGCAACACAAAUGUCCACUGACAGAUGAAUAAGUACAGCAUAUCCAGAAA